rnacentral:lncRNA from 1 species
CAAAGACUGGGGUCAAGGUUGAAAAAAAUGAGAUUUAAAUUUGGAAAAUGAUAAAUUAACCAGAAAAGUUUAUGCAUUUUGGGUUUUACUCUGUGGUCUUGCUGCAGAACAAGUGGAGAAACUAACAACCCAUGGAAGAAAAUUCCUAGAAUACUGGGAUCAAGUCAAAACACCUGAUGGUUUUAGAGGACAGAAUUUUUGGAGGGAAAAACACAACCAGAUGACUCUCUGCACCCCUUUCCCAGGCCAUGGGCACCUGCCUGAUUCCUAUGGUCAUGAAGGAACAUUUUUCUGGUGUGGCCAUAUUCAUGGUGUCAGUGCAAUCUCAUCAGAGAUGAGGCUCCCCACUCAAGCUGCCAUGUGACUUGACAGCAUCCCGGCUCUUCAUACCGUUCCCUCACCA